rnacentral:rRNA from 1 species
AUUGAACGCUGGCGGCAGGCCUAAAACAUGCAAGUCGAGUGGAGCGGCGGACGGGUGAGUAAUGCCUCGGAAUCUGCAUGGUAGUGGGGGAUAACGUCCGGAAACGGGCGCUAAUACCGCAUACUAUCAGAUGAGCCUAGGUCGGAUUAGAUAGUUGGUGGGGUAAAGGCCUACCAAGGAGACGAUCCGUAACUGGUCUGAGAGGAUGAUCAGUCACACUGGAAUUUAGACACGGUCCAGACUCCUACGGGAUGCAGCAGUGGGGAAUAUUGGACAAUGUGCGAAAGCCUGAGCCGGCCAUACGGCGUGUGUGAAGAAGGUCUUCGGAUUGUAAAGCGCUUUAAGUUGGGAGGCGUUACCUACAGAAUAAGCACCGGCUAACUUCGUGCCAGCAGCCGCGGUAAUAA